CGACGUAGGUAACCUGCCUGGUAGCGGGGGGUAACUAUUGGAAACGAUAGCUAAUACCGCAUAAUAGUAGAUGUUGCAUGACAUUUACUUAAAAGGUGCAAUUGCAUCACUACCAGAUGGACCUGCGUUGUAUUAGCUAGUUGGUGGGGUAACGGCUCACCAAGGCGACGAUACAUAGCCGACCUGAGAGGGUGAUCGGCCACACUGGGACUGAGACACGGCCCAG
rnacentral:rRNA from 1 species